rnacentral:rRNA from 1 species
UACGAAGGGGGCUAGCGUUGCUCGGAUUUACUGGGCGUAAAGGGCGCGUAGGAGGACAGUUAAGUCGGGGGUGAAAGCCCGGGGCUCAACCUCGGAAUUGCCUUCGAUACUGGCUGUCUUGAGUACGGGAGAGGUGUGUGGAACUCCGAGUGUAGAGGUGAGAUUCGUAGAUAUUCGGAAGAACACCAGUGGCGAAGGCGGCUCACUGGCCCGGUACUGACGCUGAGGUGCGAAAGCGUGGGGAGCAAACAGG